rnacentral:rRNA from 1 species
UGAGGAAUAUUGGUCAAUGGGGGAAACCCUGAACCAGCGACGCCGCGUGUAGGACGAAGGGGCUUUGCCCUGUAAACUACUGUCGGAGGGGAAGAAAAGCCGUGAUUAUUCACGGCUGGGACUGUACCCUUAAAGGAAGGAUCGGCUAACUACGUGCCAGCAGCCGCGGUGAUACGUAGGAUCCAAGCGUUGUCCGGAAUUACUGGGUAUAAAGGGUGCGCAGGCGGGCUUGUGCGUCAGAGGUUAAAUGCCACGGCUCAACCGUGGAAAUGCCUUUGAUACGGCAAGUCUUGAGUACGAGAGAGGAUGGUAGAAUUCCUGGUGUAGCGGUGAAAUGCGUAGAUAUCAGGAGGAAUACCAGUGGCGAAGGCGGCCAUCUGGCUCGUAACUGACGCUCAGGCACGAAAGCGUGGGGAUCAAACAGG